rnacentral:rRNA from 1 species
UACGUAGGCAGCAAGCGUUGUUCGGAGUUACUGGGCGUAAAGGGUGUGUAGGCGGCCUUCUAAGUUCGGUGUGAAAUCUCCCGGCUCAACCGGGAGGGUGCGCCGGAAACUGGCAGGCUAGAGUGUGGGAGGGGAAAGUGGAAUUCCUGGUGUAGCGGUGAAAUGCGUAGAUAUCAGGAGGAACACCUGUGGUGUAGACGGCUUUCUGGACCAUAACUGACGCUGAGACGCGAAAGCGUGGGGAGCAAACAGG